rnacentral:rRNA from 1 species
GUCCAUGGCCGCACCACCCUGAACACAACCGAGCUCGUCUGAUCUCGGGAGCUCAGCAGGAUCGGGCCUGGUUAGUACUUGGAUGGGAGACUGCCUGGGAAAACCUUCAAGGUCAUCCCAGUGGAUG